UGCUCUUUAUUAGGAUGAGGAAGUUCUGUUUUCUAUUUUUAGUUUGCUGAGAGUUUUUAUCAAGAAUAGAUGUUAAAUUUUUCAAAUACUUUUUCUUCAACAAUCAAUAUCAUUUUUGAAAGACUGUUAAUAUAGUGCAUUAUGUUAAUUGAUUUUCAAAUAUUAAACCAGCCUUGCAUUUCCAAAAAAAUCCCCCUUGGUUGUGUAUUUUUUGUUGAUAUUUCUGGAUUCAGUUUGCUGAUAUUUCGUUUAGAGUUUUUGUGUCUGUGUUAAUAAUAGGCCAUAGUUUUCCUUUUCUUGUAAGGUCAUGCCUUGGCAAUGUUGGCCAAAUGUAAUAAGUGCAAAGCCUUGCUCGCUCUUCUGUUUUCUGUAAGAGCCUAGACAACAUUGAUCUAAAUCUUUCUCUAGAAGUUCAGUAGAAUUCACCAAUGAAACCAUCUGUGCCUGGAAAUUUAUUUUUUGGAAAGUUUUAAGUUACAGAUUCACUUUCUUUAAUAGUGAUGGUACUGUUCAGAUUUUUUUUCUUCUUAGAUGAGUUUUGGUGAGUUGUAGCUUUCAAGGAAUUGGUCUAUUUCACUAAAGAGUUGGCUUUAUAUGCGCAGGACUGGUCACAGUCCUCUCGUCGUCUUCUAACGCCUGUGACGGCCCCUUCAGUCCACAUAGUGAGCCUGUCUUCUCCUUUCUGUCUUGGUCAGUCUUGAUCGGUGUUCAUUAAUUAUAUUGAUCUUUUAAAAACUCAUGUCGUUAAUUUUUUAUGUCAUUCUUCCCUUUCAAUUGCACCAAUUUCUGCUCUUUUCUUCAUUAUUUCCCUCCCUGCAUGCUUGUGAUUAUUUCCUUCUUUCCCCUUUGUUUCUUGAGGAGGAGGUUUAGAUUAUUUAUAUUCCUGUGAUAGCAUAACAUAAGGAUUUAAUGCCGUGAAUUUCCUUCUAAGCAUUGUUUUAGCUGCAUCCCCCAAAUUUUGAUACGUUGUGUUUUCAUUUUCAUUGAAAAUGUUUAAAAUUUUCCUUUGAGACUUCCUCUUUGACCCAAGGGUCAUCUGGUAAAAUGUUGUCAAAUUUCUAGGCAUUUGGAGAUUUUCCUGUUAUUGAUUUCUAGUCUAAGUCCAUCACCAUCAGAGAACACACUCUAUGUGACAAAACUGUUUCAUAUUUGUCAGAGUCUGUUCUGUGGCUGGGGUACGGUCUAUCUGGGUGCGUGUGGAUGGGCACGUGGAGAGAAUGUGCCUUCUGCUGUCACGUGGAGUGUUGUGCAGGUGUCGACUGGCUCCAGUUGGUUCAGAACGCUCGGUUUUCUGUCUCUUUGCUGGUUUUCUUUUCACUGCCUCUAUCACUUUUUGGAAGAGGACUAUUGAAGCCUCUGACUAUGGCUGUGGAUUUGUUUAUUUCUCCUUUCAGCUCCAUCGAUUUCUGCCUCAUAUAUCCUGAGUCUCUCUUGUCAGGUUCAUAUGCAUUUCGGAUUGUUAUGUCUUCUGGGUGAAUUCACUUUUCUUUUUCUUUAAUCGUUCUGUCAUGCUGUGUUUGUCCCUGGUGAUUUUCUUUGUUAUGAGAUCUACUUGUCUGAUGUCAUCACAGUCACUUCAGCAUCUAUUUGAUUAGUAUUCACAUUACACAUCCUCUGACUUCUUGUUAGUCUACCAAAUCAUUGUAUUUCAAGUAAGUUGUUUUGGAGACAGUGUAUACUGUGGUCACUUUUAACUUCGUUGUGAAUAUCUGUUACUAACUGGUAUGUUUGGACCACUUAGAUUUACUGUCAUUGUUUCCUGGGAUUUAGGUGGCAUUUCACUAUGUGCUUUUGUCUUUCCCUUUCUCCCUCACUCCUCUGCUUCCCAUUUCCCCCCUCCUUUUGAGUUACUUGAGCAUUCUGUGGUCCUCCGUUUUAGCCUAUUUUCGCCAUUUGGGCUUGGACUUCAGAUGUCUCAGUGUUCAUCAUCGUCCUUCUAAAUCAGCUGAGACUUCUGCUGCAGACGUGUCGGCCUGGGUGGCAUCCUCUCCCAGGGAAACACUGUGCGGCCCUUGUGAAGCUCACUCUGUUCUUUGUCAGCGGCACUGUUUCUGUAUUCCUAACCCUGUGACGUGUGCAUCCACCUUGUUCCUGUCCUCUCGAUGCCUUGGGCUCGGCUCCAUGAGUACAUGCGUCUCAGGCCCAGCCUCAGAACCUGGGCGGAAGCGUCUCCCAUUGUCCUGUGGUUGUCGGAAGUUAGUUCUUUAGUAAAUUCUUCAGGAAGGGGUGACACUCCCUCCGUGUUUCCGUAUUGACAACUCUUCUGCCUUUGUUCUCGCAGGAUACCCGGCUGGGUCUGCAUUCUUGGCCCAUGUUUCCCUCCCUAGAGCAUCUUUAAAACACAGCUCCAUUGUUUUCCAGCAGAGAGUUGUUACUGAGCCAUUUGAUGCCAACCUUAUGUUCUUUCCUUGGUCAAUAAAUUUGGAUUUUUUUUUUUUUUGCAUCAAUGUUCAAAGUGAGUUUUUCCCUUAUCAUUAGGGCCCAACAGUGUAUGAGGAUGUAUGUUGGUGCUGACUGUUCAGGCUUGGUUUCCCGGGCUCUGUGUGUCUUUAGUCUUCUCUAUGUGUUCCUGAACUACAGUUCUGAGUUCUUGUUCUUCUUUUUGUUUCUGAAGAUUCCAAAUACAUACACAUGUACACACAAGAACAUACACCACACAUACCACACGCAUGUACACCGGGACUGCCGUGUAACCCCGUGAAAGUCGUUAGAAUAAAAAAAGAAUUAAAAAAUAUUCUAACAGACAACAAAAACAUAGAAAUACAUGACUGAAAAGCAGAUGAAAAUUGUAUCCUAACAUUUCAAAAUGAAUUAAAAGUAAUUAGGUGGUAACCAAGCUUUGACACAAGAGUACAAGUCAGAAAUGGAGGAGCUGGAAGCAGUGCUGUUAAACGUGAAGCAGCCGACAGAAAUUAGGAAACACUGCAAGAAAUGAAAGCAAUUUCAGAAAUAACAACGAGAAAGAAUCUAAGAAUAAGGUGAGUAUGUGUGUGUGCACACGCAUGUGUCUGAGCGUGUGGUCUGUCCCUCCUGUGCACAUGGAUGGGUUUCCACGUGAUGAUCUGGGGGUCCUGGGCGGUGGCCGGGAAGGCAGUGUCCUCACCAGCCAGGUCUUCUCUCGGCCAUCACAGAAGGACUCAGACGGGUCCCCCUGGAGUGUGGCCCUGCCUUCUGCACUGAGUCCUCAGGAAGAUGCCAGGAAGUGGCCUUGAUUGCAGAGUGCUGCUCUGGCUCGGCCGUGUGGCACUGUCCUCACUCUGUCCUCUGCCCUCCAGGCCCCCCUGACCUGCAGCUUCUUCUGGCCCAGACCCACGCCCUGCUCUGCUCGGUCCAGGUGAGAGUCUGUCUGUCCUCCAGAGGGAGGUUUUCCGGGCGUUCCUGCAGCCCUCGGGGACUAGGCGACGUCACAUGCAGGUUCUGCAUUCCCAGGUGGGUCUCCCGGUUUCACGGGCCUCCUGCAUCUGUGUACGCAGGUCCAGUCCUGGUGUCUGCUCCUUUCGGGGUGAGUGUUAUUGGUGAUUUGGGGUACACGGCCCAGGCCUAUCCUGGGCGUCUUGGCUCCCCAUGCCCCUGGCAUUCGCUGACCCCUUGCCAGUCGUGGUGUGCUGGGGGUGGGUGUCCAGACCUGGAGGCGGCUGUCCAUGGGUUUUUGUGUUGCCCUGUGAUUUUCUCGUUUGGUCUUCAGGAAGUGUUUGAGGAGGUGGGAAGAGCCUGCUGUCCGCUCCCCCCACCUGCUCUUUCUCAGGCUCUGGCCUCUUCUCCUCCCCCAGGCCGACUCCUCGGGGCUGAGCCUCGAGGCCAUGGCUUUGGCUGUACCCAGUGCUGACAACUUUCAGAUCUCUCCCUCCCUAGGCACGUGCUUUCGAUGGCACGCGGGGCAGCAGCGACAGGGCCUUCUUGCAGGCAGACCCCGCGUGCUCUCCAUGCAAUCAGGACCCAGGACGUGGGCAAAGAACUUCCCAAGGGAAUCAGAAUGGGGUGCAAAUGAGAAGUCUGUGUUCAUAGACUGAUAGCAACUGAAAUGUGCGACAGGACUAAAACCGUCUGGUGAAAAUGCUGAAAGGAGGUCUGUGAGCAGAGAGCUGGGGCCGUGGGGCCGAGGGGCCAUUGGCGUCAUGGAGGCCGUGGGACCAUGGGACUGUGGUGGCCGUAGGGCCAUGGGGGCCGUGGGGACCAUGGGGGCUGUGAAGCUGUGGGACCAUGGGGGUCGUGGGGGCCAUGAAGCUGUGGGACCAUGGGGGCCGUGGAUCCAUGGGGGUCGUGGGGGACAUGGUGCUGCCAGACCGUGGGGGCCGUGGGACGUGGGACGUUUGGCCCAGUGAUCUGGGUGCCACGUGGCUGUGCUCAAUGGCCAGCUUAUGGCUGCAUUAGAAUCACGUGUGUGAAUCUUAGACCUUCCAGCCUCCAGAACUGUGAGAAGUAAGUGUCUGCUGUUGAAGCCACCAGCCUGGGGUAUUUUGUUACAGCUACCGAGCUGACUAAUCCACCCACAAACAACACGAAUGAUUUAAUGUGACUGGUGCUGUCCUCCUAGGGGGUCCCUGCUGCAUCCCACUGUCAUGGCUGGAAGCAGCCCAUCCUGGCCUGGGAAGGUCCAGGUAUGAUGGAGGUGUGAGCCGCCAGCUUCCAGGAUAAGCACCAGACUGCGGUGUAGACCGUCAGGGGAUGGAUACGAAGAGGUUUGCCACACGGCCAAGGCAGAGUUCUGAGGCAGACCCUCGGCUCAGAGCUAAACCUGUGCAAAUACUGUCUGUUCUCCAGAUCCCUCCCUCGCCCACGGCCCCGUCCUGUGCUGCUGCAUCUCAGAGGGAAACGUGAGCCGCCAAGGCCAGUGCUGAUGACAGCAGCCGGAAACACCUGUCGGGAUUUCCUCCCUCUCAUCAGAAUCCUGGGAGACGCAUCCCAGUCCACCUGCCUCCCACUUGCGGAAGGACCUCUCACAGCUCAGGGCUCUCCCAGCGCCUGGCACCACAGCCACAUGGCUCCGAGCCUGGCCGCUCAGGCCCUGCAUUCGCCUGUCUGUGGGCUUCAGCAGGGGCACGGCCCUCUUGUCCACAUAUCAAAGGCAUCAAACAAGUGAACGUGGUGGCCAGGGUGCCUGACCCGCGGUGCUCGGCGGUACACACAGGUCAGCUGUAGGAAGGGCACGAGGGCAGACCCCCCAGAGCACUCUAGCUGAACCAACAACUGGUUACUUCAUGCCUCAGGGCUGUCCAGGACAGCACAGGCUGGCCAGAAGGGCCAAGACACUCCGGGGCUCCUCUCUCAGCCAAGGGCCCCACUCCCCCACCACAGGUCGGUCACGGAGCCGGGUCUGCAGAGAGACAGGAGGUCCUGUCCCCUUGUGCCUCUGCCAGGAGAGGGACGUGUGGCAGCUGAGCCUGGACCCUGUUCCCUGACGGCUCAGCCAAGCUCCCACGCAGGUGAGCUCUCCCGGAGCCCCGAGGGCGGACAAUGUCAUCUCUGCUGCUCUCUCCAGGGCUCGGGCCAGUGCUGGACCCUCACCUAUGUGUUGGGUGGCCAGUCAGUGCUGGCAGGGGCUGGGGCAGAAGGACGUGGCCUGAGCCGUGGACUGUCCAGUCCCCGCGUAUACUCGGCCUCUGCCGCUGUCCAAGGAAAGGAAGGGAGGGUGGCAGGGCAGGGUGUGCAUGGCCUCCACAUCUCGUGGGAGGACGUUUCUUGGGGUCAGAGCCCCCCCUCCACUCGCCCCAAACAGAGCAGACCCUUUGGGGAGACCACACGGGGCGUUUGCACAGAGUGGCCAAGUGGGGUGGCCAUGGCAGGCGUCUUCCUGGACAGGGGCGGGGGGGUGCAUUCGGGCUGCUAGAGAGGAGUGUCCGGGGCCCCAGCUCGUCUUCCCGGUGCUUGAUGGGGGCUCCAACAAGGUCCCUGACGAUGGGUGUCUGAGUGGAGUGCGCAUCUGGAGCCAGUGCACGGAAGGGACUUGUGAGUCGUCCUGAGCCCGGGUAGGGCCCCAGCACUUGUUUUCUUAUCCACCACAGAUCGUUCCUCCCAGAUAGCCUGCUGGGACCCAGGACUGCAGCCCGAGCUCAGAGCUUCAGCCGGCGCCCUUCCUGCCAGGGUUGCCGCAGGCCCCGCACCUGCUCCUCCUCGGCCUUGAGGUCCUGCAGCCAGCUCUCUGCGGCUGUGACAGCCAUGACAUCCCUGGUGCCGGAGACGCACAUUUGGACGCUGUGAUGCUGGCUGGCGUGGUUGCGACUCCAGGCUGCCCAUCCCUUUUCUGCUAAUUCAUCUUAUUGCACUUUGCAAAAGCAUUGGGAGGCGCGGAGGGGAAGCCCAGCAGGCGGAGGGUCGAGAAGGUUCUGGAGACCAGGUGGACUGGCUGGGACUCAGGGGUAGCAGGGGCACCUGGGGCCCCAGGGCGUUGGUCACGUUUGCGCCCAGCUGGAGGGCCAGGCAGCCGAGGGGCACUGGCUGCUGCCUGAGUUCUGGGCCGACAGGGAGGGAGUUUCUCUAAACGGCCCCACAACACUCCAGCCCCGGGCUGCUCGGCCUGUGGGUCUUGCUCCAUCGUGCCUGGAACCCACAGCCCCGACAAGGACCACAGCCCCCACAAGUGGCUGGACCCUGCUGGUCCGGCUGCUCCCUCGCUGUGGCCUGGGCCCCCCAGGACACGCACCUCCUGCCAGGGUGCAGGGAGGGGCUGUGGCUCUACCAGCUCUCUGCAACAGGGAGGGCUGAUCCCCCACUGGCCCGAGGCCUCCAGGGCCACCUGCGGUGCACUCACAGGGCGCUUGACAGGAGGCCCGGGGCCCAGGACACUCCUGCGCUCACAGUGGGCACCUGCGUGGGGACAUCUGCCUGGGCCCCUCGGGUCAUGCAGAUGCCCCAGCCCUGCCUGAGCAGGGUCAGUGCUGCCAGGAGCCAGGAAGGCCAGUGGACACAGCAGCUCACUGUCCACUAUGGGGCUGGGUGUCACUGAGUGCUGGGCGCUGACCGCCACCCAGGAGAGGCUGGCAUGUGCAGAUUCUGAGUCACUAGGCCUGGCCAAGGCCACAGAGGGCUCUGGUGUGAGGACGGCAUGGCUGCGCCCAGGGCCUGGGCUGACACUGGGCGCUGCCUCUUCCCGCCUUAGUGACCUCGGCAAGCCCUUCAUCCCUGUGUGCCUCAGUUUCCCCAUCUAGGAGUGCAGUGGCAGAUCCGGCUCAAAGUGCUAUCGUGGAGUUGAGUUACUUAACAGGUCAGGAAGCUGAGCGUACCCAGCACCCCUGGGCCCACGUGGGCUGGGGGCUUUCCCUGUCAUAGGCCUGGGACCCAGCCCUGGCAAGCACAGCCCCCAAGCGCCCCACUUUCUCACAUAGAGGUGGUGGGUGGUAGCUUUCACUGGAUCUGCCUCCUGCCCCUGAGGUCUUUCAUUUGACGGAUGAGGACAUUGAGAGCCAGGCAGGCGGGGCUGGGCCUGAACCCCGUGUCUCCAGCCCUGACCCUACACUCUCUGUUGGGCGGCUCUGUGGAUGCCGAGUGGUACCAGCCCUGCCGGAUGGCGACCUCCCUCCCCAGGGGUGGUGCCCUGUUCACGCUGCUUCUGUCCUGGAGCUUGGGUGCUCCAAGACCAGGGUGUCCCAGGGCCAUGCUCUCUCUGAGGCUCUGGGGGAGGGUCCUUCCUGCCUCUUCCAGCUCCUGGGGCUCCAGGCAUCUCUGGGCCGCAUCUCCCCAACCUCUGUCUUGGUCUUCACGUGGCCUCCCCUGCGUGUCUCAUAUGGACACCUGUCAUGGGAUUUGAGGCCCCUUGGAAAUCCAUGAUGGUCUUAUCUCCAGGUCCUUAACUUAACCACAUCCACAGACACCCCCUUCCAAACGAGGUCCCACACGCAUGUAGUGGGGUUUGGACAGGGACACAUCUUUGGGGCCACCCUUCAGCCCACCACAGACACUGAGCAGCUUCCCUGGCCCCUCCCACCCUACUGACUGUCAAAAUUGUCCCUGGAUGCUGCAGAUGUCCCCGGCCCAGAACUGGGCUCAGAGCCGGUUCAAGGGGCCUUUGCCCCACCCUCUCUCCCUGGACUCUGGACUCAAGGAUCCUCAGUGGAUCUGGGGGAUUGACAGAGUCUUAGGCCUGCUUGGAGUUUGUUAAUCUCGAAGGCCCCACACCCCGAGGCUGCCCCCCUUUCACUUCGUCUUAAUGGGAGCGGCUGCCUGAGCAGUGGCAUCCGUGCUCACGGGGUGCUGCUGCUGCGGGCUGGGGCUCCUGGGCACUGCGGUGGGAGUGGAGCUCCUGAGCCAAAUCUCAGGGAUGAGCUCUGGUGGGACGCCCCGAGUCCCCGUCAGCCAGCUGUUCUCGGACCCUGAAGGAGGCUGGACAAGGGGAGCUGGCGGCACAGCCUGGCAUGAAGCAGGCCCUCGACACCCAGGACAGGAUGUGCUGCGUCCUGGGCAUGGCCUGAGGGCUGGACAUGGGGCCACGGCCGUCAUGUUUGGUGUGGGCUCUGGCCCCGCACAGAGCAGAGCGGCUCACCCUGCUCCAGGCCGCAUGAGAACCUGGCAGCCAACCCUGGCCAUCAUGCCCAAACCGGCUGAGUUUCCAUGACCCCAGACUGCCCGGUCUGAGCUGGAACCUGCAGGGCUGAGGGGCAGACGCAGGCCUGGGUGACCCCCAGCACCAUCGGGGGCUACGGGGCCCCGUCUGUCUUGGCUUUACUUGUCAUCAGAGAACAAGUCAGAGUGGUCGUGCCUUCUAGCACCUUCCGGGGCCAACCACUUAGUCCGUCUCAGAACAUCAGGAAUAUCGAAAUUCAGCCUGGAGAUGGAAACACCUGGAAAGUGAACCAGUGGUCCUCCCGUCAGCCCCUGGGUCCCUGGUGCCUGGCGACCCGUAUUGAUCACCUGGAGCUGGCCCUGAGCAGUGGGACUCCCGAUGGGCUGAACCCGCCUUCCCUGCUGCACACGGUGAGGGGCAGCGGGACGAGGAAGGAGCCGGUCGGGAAGGCACCCGUCAGAGCCGUGGCCUCACACCUGGAGCCGGUGUAGGAGCCGUGCGGACAGCGCUCCGGGACCCCGCGCCUGGGCUGCCUGGAGGAAACGGCUCCCGCUGCGCGGAGGUUCAUCUCCGGCUUAACUGAAGGGCACUGGGAGCAGCCGAGCACGCGCCCAGGAGACAGAUGCCAGCCCUGCAGCGGCUCGAGACCCAGGAAAACUAAGCUGACACCGACCAGGCUGAACCUCCGAAGCGGAUGGGAGGGGUGGCUCCUGGGGCCCCGGGAGCACUGUGACCGUGCUUUUGGAGGCCCCUCUAGCCUUCGAUUUUCUUGCUGUUCCAGCAGCCCACAGCCUGGGGGCAAAGGGCCAAAUUUCCUUAUUUUUGCCAAAUUCUCUUGUCUGCCCUGACCCGUGCUCAACACCCUGGCCUGUCUCCUCCCUCUCGGGUUCAUUGGGAGGAACAGCGGGUCUCGUGUUCCUGCAGGAGCCCCGGCCUCAGGAUGAGCAUGUGCUUGCAUUCUUUGUACUUUGUGCCAUGAGUGAAAACAUUGGCUUUUCUGGCGAAGUUUCUUUAGUGCAGGCAGCGUUCUCGGGUCAUGAAAGCAAGUCCUUUCCUUCCACGGUCCGCCCUGGAGAUUCUUCUAUCUCUUUGCCUCAUUUUAGCUUUUUCUGUUGAUCCCUCAGCCGAGAAGAAAGAACUAGAGUUUGCUCUCAGAGGAAGGCAAGCAAGAGGGUGGGAAACGGCAGCUCGCUCCAGGUCAGGGCUGGCACCGCAGUGUGCCUGGCAGGGCACCCUGGGGACACCCGUGGAGGGGAGCGGCCAGGCCACGUUCCGUCCGCCGUGUGAGCAGCAGCAUUGGGGGUGAGGAGCACCGAGGAUUGUGAACUCCAGAGAGGUCCCCGAGUGCUGGGCACGACCCGCACUCACUCCAGAACCUGCCUGCAUGCCCAGGCCUGCAAGUGCCCCAAGCGAGCCACUGUGAGCUCCUUCAAUCAUGCCAGGGACCCAAGCAAACCCACGGGCACUGCUGGGCCGGCGGGCGGUGUGGGGUCUCCUCAGCCCCGAGUCUCAUCAGCCCCCAAAGGCGCCAGAUAAACAGACCAUUUAAGUCAGAAGGGUGCUGACCUUGCAAACACACCUUCAGGACAAGGCCCUGGGCCACCCCGAACCACGCUGAUACCCACCCGCCCUGUGGACGGAAGAGCCAUGGGAAGAAGUAUCUCCACCUAGCCUUGUCCGGGCCCGGCCUGGGGCCUAGCAUCCCAGAAAGCGGGGUCUGGGACACUGACCAGAAUGUCUUGGGGCCCCUCCUGCCUCAUCUACUGGGUUAUAGAUGAAAAGCUAACUCGAACCCACGUCAGGAGGAGACGCUGGGACCAGCAACACUGCAGGGAAAGGCAUAUGCACACACACACCAUGCACGCUCGUGCACAACCCCCCAACAUUGCAGGGAAAGGCACACAUACACACACCAUGCACGCUCGUGCACACGCCCCAACACUGUAGGGAAAGGCACACGCACACACACCAUGCAUGCCUGUGCACACACCCCCCAAUGCUGCAGGGAGAGGCACAUGCACACACACCAUGCACGCUCAUGCACACACCCCAACACUGCAGGAAAAGGCACACACCAUGCACGCUUGUGAGCACACCCCAACACUGCAGGGACCACGUUUACAGGAGCCCAGGUGCGGUGUGGUGUUUGCUGGGCUUUGGGGGGUGAGGAUGCCAGUGACCCGGCUGGAGUGGGAGGGCAAGGCUGACCGGGAUUCGAUUCUCACCCAUCUCGAGUGUGCGGCUCCCUGGGGCCUCCAUUUUCUUGCCUCUUGGUCUCCUCUAGGGAGAGGCCCAGUCUGGGGCCCGGCCCAAGCUCUCCGUCUGUGGGACCAUCGGUGUGGCUCCUCCUGUGCGUCCAAACGCCCCACCUGAUGCUGCUUUCUGAAGACGACCUGAGCGUCUGGCCGUGACCACUGUCUUCCUGGGGGCGGCUGAUGCCCAGGCCCCCCCGGUGCAGAGUGACGCUGUGGGGUGGGGGCGUUGCUCACAGGAUGUUCACCCCGUUGCUUGGGGAGUCCCCACACAAAAGACCUUCACAGGGGACAUCGGGCUGCCGGUCACACGUAAUGACUGCCUCCCCAGAGUAGGAGGGACCAGGAAACGGGAGAAGGCAAGCUCGACGGGCAGAGCCUCUGAGUGAAGUCCCACCCUCAGACCCAGGGGCUGACUAGCUGUCUCCCAAAUUCCUUCUACCCCUGUAUGCCGUCACCAGGUGACACCACGUAUACUUGAGGGUGGAUGUCCAGCAUGAGGACACACCAUCCUUUGAGAGGACCAGGCACACACGAGGGUGGAUGUCCAGCGGGAUGAUGCCCAGUCCUCCUUAUGGCCCUGAGGGGUCAGCUUUUGGCCCAGCGCUGUCCCCGUCUGGCACACUGAGGCCAGGUGCCAAUUUGGAAGAGGCCGUGUCCAGUCCUACAGGCCAUCAGCACUGGCUGGGACCCACGACUGUUAGCGUGGAUGGCAGCAAGGCGGCCUCGUGGGUUUACAGCCUCCGCAGCUGGGCCCUAUCAGGGCGCACGUCCCACUGGACUCAGCUGCUCAGAAGAGCCAGCACGUUGCUGGGAAUGCAGCGCCUUCGACGUCUGGCACAGCGCCUCCCUCUGAAGUCCGGCCAGCCGGCGAUAAACCAUGGAGUGACCUCCCUGGCUGACCCAGCUGGACCUCCACACAGACCACAGCUUUGUCGUCACACAGACAGCCUGUAACAACAUUGAAAUGAAGCAGAGGAUGCUGUCACAGGAGGCGCUGCUGACAGCCUGACGUUUCCGGGGCGACGGCCCUGUGUGCAGCCGCGUGGCGUUCCACCCCCUGGGUGAAACCAAGACCCGUGAGCCCGCAGAGAGCUCCCCUGGGGCUUGGGGGUGACAGACGCCCUUGGGGACAGCCUCUGCCCCACAACAGACCAUCUCACUGCAGACCACGCCUCACAGGUCCGGGGCCCAGCCGGCUUCCCAGCAGUUGGGCAGUUUUGAUGAAGGAAAGUGUCAGCCUGACUCUCAGCAAAGAACGCAUCUUUCCUUGCGUCUCACGAUACUCUGGGGCCAGAAGUCUGACAUCAAGGUGUCACAGGGCCUCGCCGUCUCCGGGGCCCCCAGGGGAGGGUCCCUCCUGCCCCCUCCGUGUGUGUCUGUGGGCCUGUCGCAUAAGGACGCUGUCACUGGAUUUACAGCCGGCCUGUGUAAUCCAGGAAGCUCCCAUCCGAAGACCCUUAACUGGAUCACAUCUGAAAGACUUCCCAGCCUGCUCUCAUUCACAGCUUCCAGGUGAGGCAGUGACACGCCCUUCGUGGCUGCCUUCAGCCCACCUCGGCCCUCCGCCCCCAGCCCCUCGCCUCACGAGAAGUCGAGUCCCGUCCUGGCACACACCCUCCGGGCCCCAGACCAGCCUCCUGGAGGCGGCGUCACUUCCAGAGUUUGUCCACAUCUGUGGGACCUUCCACGUCCCAGAAUCCCUCAGGGUUUGUUCCGGAACUUCAGCUGUGCGAGAGGAAAACCCCAGGUCCCGCAUGCCGGAGGGAAUCCCUGGGGUGGCGCUGAGUCCGGCACACGGCCCACCUGGCCCUCGGGUCGGCGUCUCUGCCCAGGGCCUCCCCUGGCCCGUGUCCAGCCUGCAGACCCUCCCACAGCAGGUCCGAGCAGAGGAUGUGCGGGCCGGAGGAACUCGUGGGUGUGCGGGCUCCUCGCUUCUCCUCCGGGGCCCUGAGUCCUUCAGUCACAUCAGAAUUGCUUUCUUCCCGGCCCCGGGUGACUUGUCCUUCUGCCAGGAGCCUGGACUCCUUCCUCCUCCUCCGAUCCUCCUGGAAGCCUCUCUGGACACGGUUUCCCCCUGUUUUCUCCUACAGCCCAUGACAAUCCCACAUGCGCUGCGUGGGUCCCAACAAUCGCGUUCGUGGUCAGGGCCCAGGACGUGGCCCCCACCGCCUUCAUGGGGAGAGCGUCCUCCCCACCUGCUUCCUUCCACAAGACUUCGUCUGCGCUGUGCUCCCAGGUACAACCCUCGUCCCACGGCCUGGCCCCGCGUCUCCCCCACCCCACGCAGCCGACACUGACCUGAUCCUCACCUGUCCUGUCCCACGUCCAGCCCCAUCCUCACCCCUAACACAUGUGAAACGCCAGCUGGGGAGGGUGGCGGAGCGAGAGAGGAGGUGCCCGUUCUGGGUCUGCACACGCAGGAUGGGGACGCCACCACGAGGAAAGGCCGUGAGGACGACAGGAAGUCAGCACCACCGAAGGUCCUGUUCCUCGUUUCAUUUCGUCCACAACUUGGAUGAAGACCCAGAAUCAUGCUGACCAAACAUGCAAAGGACACGAAGCAGGAGAGUGAGUAUACUGGGUGCUGAAGUCCAGAUCCAAAACGACUUCACCGCCAGGAGAAAAGGCCCCGAGUUAACAAGACAGAACCCAACAGGGAGAAGUCAGCCGUCAUGCAUUCCGGCUCACUCAGUCCUCAAGUAGAGGAGCAGGAAGGCCUAGCUUGACAGUGUUGUGAAAAAGAUCUGAUGGAGUUAGUGGGCCACAAGCUCACCAAGAGACAGCUGUGUGACUCGGCUGCUUAAGAGCCUUGAUGCAUCCCUGAGCAGCCUGGAGAGCAAGGGACCCUCAGAUCAACAAAGGAGAUACCCCCACCUCUCGUGGUCCACACUGGUCAGCGUCUCUGGCCGGACCCUGGGGUGACAGCAGGCAAUGCUGCUGGAGUGGUGCCAUGGCAGGAGUGCAAAUUUCACGAGUUGGAUGGUGUGACCCUUGCUGCACAAGGUGGGCCUUCCCCCUGGAGGGGCAGGAGGCGGGCCCAGCGUUGGCUCCAGACCCCGUGCUCCGAAUCCCUGCUCCACGGCCCCUCUCGGGGUGCUGCAGGGCAAGGCGAGGUCUUGGUGUCUUCAGAGGGCUGGGAACGUGUCGUGUGCUCUCGGCAGAAGCCCUGGUGACGAGCAUCGGCACAGCGGACGUGGACGCCGGGACUGUGGGCGUCUAGCUCCUGGAGGAGAUGUGACCCAAUAGGGCAGAGCAGGCUCGUCUGCAUCGGUCGGUACUUGCCUCUGUUUCACCGACACCUCGUCGAGCGUGACGGAUGGCGAUGUCUUCAUCCUUCUCCUGCCGGUGAAACCCCCACCCUGACUUGCGGUUGGAGCAAGGAUGCUCUACGCUUGUUGAGGCAAAUAUCCCAGGAGCCCUCGUCCCGGCGGCGUGCGGGGCCCUGGCGUCUGGGAGUCUGACGCCACCACGCUGUGGCGGUUUUCUGACGCGGUUGAGUGGUUUCCUCCUCGCCUGCUGAGGACGAGAGCUCUCCCAGCGCUGUGUUCUCCACAGCACUUGCCUGACUUUUUAAUUUUUGCGAGAACGGUUGGUGUGAAGUGAUAACAUCCAAGUAUGGUUUUAAUUUCCACGUAGCUGAUUAUCAACGAGGUGGAACAUCCUGUGCUGACUGGGGCGUUUCCGUUUUUCUUAUUGAACGGUGGGGCUCUUUACGUGUUCUCAAUACUGGUACUUCGUUACAAACCUUACAGACAUCUUUUCCCACCUCGUGGCUUGACCCUUGACUCUCCAUGAUGAACAGAUGUUCUGCGGGUUAAUGCAGGUGAAGAUGUCAGUCUUUUCUUUGAAGGUCUGUGUUUUCUGAGUUGUUUAACAAAUUCCUCCAGACCUUAAGGCCCUGAGUACAUUCUCCUGCACAAUCUUCUAAUUUGUUUUAACGUUACGGCUCUAACGAGCUGGGGUUUAUCUUUACAUGUGGUGUGAGCUAGAAGCUCAACUCACUUUUUUCUUGAGAGACGACUGAUUUCCCCGGAUCUCACUGGGAAGCCCACCUGCAGCAUCCCUUGUUAAAGGUCACCCACCCGUGUGCAAGUGGGGCAGCGUCCCGCUCCCCACUCACCCUGUUGGUCUGUGGUCUGUCCUUGCACUGGCACCACGUGGCCUUGUGGCCCCAGCUUGACAGGAGGUCGUGCUGUCUGGUGGGGAGUGUCCCCUGCCUGCUCUUCAUCUUCUGGUUGAUUUUUGCUGUUCUUGUGCUUUUGCCCGUCAGUGUGAAUUUUAAAACCAGCUCGUCACAUUUCACAGAGAAACCUGCUGGGUGUUGAUGGGAAUCGCACCGGUUCGUAGACCCAUAGGGACGCGGUCUUCACAGG
rnacentral:lncRNA from 1 species